AAGACUUCAUUCCUUCUUGCUGCUGAGUAAGAUUCCAUCGUGUGUAUAUACCACAUUUUGUUUAUCCUUUCAUCGGUUGAUGAACACUUGGUUUGUUUCUGUCUUUCAGGAAUUGUAAAUAAUGCCAUCAUGAAUGUCUGCGUGCAGGUAUCCAAGUUCCUGCUUUCAGUUCUUCUGGGUAUGGACUGAGUAGCGGGAUUGCCAGAUCAUAAGGCAACUCUUUACUUAGCCUUCUGAGGAACCACCAAAUCAUCUUCCACAGUGGCUGUACCAUUUUACAUUUCCGCUAGCAAUGAAUAAGUGUUCCUAUUUCUCCACAAGAAUCUCCAGCACUUGUGGAUUCCUAUUUAGCAGCAACCAUUCUAGUGGCACCUAAGAAUUAGAGUUGCGCAUACAAGCAGGCAUUGUGGUUGUCAGUUGUUACAGUUGGCUCUGAUGGGAAAACUGACAGCUGAGAGGAUUUGAGGAAAUUUCCUAAGGUUGCAAGUGAAUAGCUGUUACAGCUGGGAUUCCAACUCAGUUUGGUCUGACUUCACAGCCACAGCUCUGUCUGCAGGGUUGUGCUACCUCCAAAUCAGGUAAGGUAGAACUUCAAGCACCGUGUUGAAUGAGUAUAGUGAGAGCAGACAUUGUUGCCAUGUUCCUGAUAUAAGUGGGGGAAGCAUUCAACCUUUCACCAAAUGUCAAUAAUUCAAGGGGAAGGAAGAAGCAAUAUUCAUGUGUUAUCUACUCUAUGCUGGAAAUUGAGCUGGUCACUCUAGUUCACCACAACCCUGCAAACAAAUAUUACCUCCCAUUGUACAAAUGAGACAUUGAAAUGGAGAGAGCCAGCACACUUACUGGUUGUGCCAGUUUGAAUGUAUUAUGUCCCCCUG